rnacentral:rRNA from 1 species
UACGUAGGGGGCAAGCGUUGUCCGGAUUUAUUGGGUUUAAAGGGUGCGUAGGCGGUCCUAUAAGUCAGUGCUGAAAUAUCCCGGCUUAACCGGGAGGGUGGCAUUGAUACUGUAGGACUUGAGUAAAGUUGAGGUUGGCGGAAUUGACGGUGUAGCGGUGAAAUGCUUAGAUAUCGUCAAGAACACCUAUUGCGAAGGCAGCUAACUAGGCUUUAACUGACGCUGAGGCACGAAAGUGUGGGGAGCAAACAGG